rnacentral:rRNA from 1 species
UACGAAGGGAGCUAGCGUUGUUCGGAAUCACUGAGCGUAAAGCGCACGUAGGCGGCUGUGUCAGUCAGGGGUGAAAUCCCGGAGCUCAACUUCGGAACUGCCUUUGAUACAGCACGUCUUGAGUCCGAUAGAGGUGGGUGGAAUUCCUAGUGUAGAGGUGAAAUUCGUAGAUAUUAGGAAGAACACCGGUGGCGAAGGCGGCCCACUGGAUCGGUACUGACGCUGAGGUGCGAAAGCGUGGGGAGCAAACAGG